rnacentral:lncRNA from 1 species
AAGUUGUUAUGUUGUUUAAAUAAGUUAAAAUAAAUAAUGUUGGUUUAGUUAGUGAAUUUAGUUGUUGGAAUUAAGUCAAAACUAAUGUAGUUAAAGUUCAAAAGUUGUUAUGUUGUUUAAAUAAGUUAAAAUAAAUAAUGUUGGUUUAGUUAGUGAAUUUAGUUGUUGGAAUUAAGUCAAAACUAAUGUAGUUAAAGUUCAAAAGUUGUUAUGUUGUUUAAAUAAGUUAAAAUAAAUAAUGUCAGUUUAGUUAGUAAUUUAGUUGUUGGAAUUAAGUCAAAACUAAUGU